UACGUAGGGUGCAAGCGUUGCUCGGAAUUACUGGGCGUAAAGCGCGUGUAGGCGGACCACCAAGUCGGACGUGAAAGCCCUGAGCUCAACUCAGGAACUGCAUCCGAAACUGGCGGUCUGGAGUAGUGGAGAGGAAGGCAGAAUUCCUGGUGUAGAGGUGAAAUUCGUAGAUAUCAGGAGGAACACCGGUGGCGAAGGCGGCUUUCUGGACACUUACUGACGCUGAGACGCGAAAGCGUGGGGAGCAAACAGG
rnacentral:rRNA from 1 species